UACGGGGGGGGCAAGCGUUGUUCGGAAUUACUGGGCGUAAAGGGCGCGUAGGCGGCCUGUUAAGUCGAACGUGAAAUCCCCGGGCUCAACCCGGGAACUGCGUCCGAUACUGGCAGGCUUGAAUCCGGGAGAGGGAUGCGGAAUUCCAGGUGUAGCGGUGAAAUGCGUAGAUAUCUGGAGGAACACCGGUGGCGAAGGCGGCAUCCUGGACCGGUAUUGACGCUGAGGCGCGAAAGCCAGGGGAGCAAAGCGGG
rnacentral:rRNA from 1 species